UCACUCUCUCAUUUAUCACACCCUAUGUCAUGAACAAAAAAAAUAGAACUUUGAGAAAAAUGCAAAAAAAAAAAAAUUGAUUUCCUUUUGACAUGUGAAGCAGAGACCGUCUCUCUCUCUCUGAAAAAUUCUAUUUUCACUCUCAACAUAAUAACUUUUCCUUAUUCUUCUGGAAGUGACUUUUGUUCACUCUUUUCCUUCAACUCACAAAACAACUGAUCACAACCACCAUAACUCAACCAAAACACCUCAUUUCACUGAAUCCAACACCACAUCUCCACUUCCGAAUCUCCUCCGUCAGAACUGAUAACAACGUGACCAUCUUCCUAUCAUAAAACAACUCCCUUUAUCGCAUAAAAAAGGACCACCACAAUGUAGAUCACGAACAACACUUUCCUUCUCUUCAUUUUCUCCUUUCGCUACCUUUCCUCUAUUAACCCUUGUAACCAACUAUGAAACAUAAACUUUUCAUCGCCAUUAUUCCCGACCACUAUAACCACCGAAAAUCCAUCAAUAUACUCCCUCUAUCAAAAUGUCAAAUACCACCAUUAACUGCCUGCUUCCGCCAUCCACCACCUUGUUAACUUCAUCCAUUCAACACCACCACCCAUGCUCACCACGCCACCACCACACUAAACAACAACAACCUUAUCAUACAAACUUCUCAUUUCAACCACCAUAAACUCACACAAACACACACCAUUUUCAUCAUUUCAACAACAAAUCAAAGAUCCACAAACAAAAAAACAACAAAAGAAGAAGUAAAAUAUCUCCACCACCGCGUUUAACCGGACCUGC
rnacentral:lncRNA from 1 species